GCCGGAAUAGCUCAGUUGGGAGACUGAAGGUAUAUACAUGCUGAAAUUUAAAGGCCCCCGGUUCAAUCCCGGGUUCCGGAA
rnacentral:tRNA from 1 species